GAUGAACGCUGGCGGCGUGCCUAAUACAUGCAAGUCGAGCGAAUGGAUUAAGAGCUUGCUCUUAUGAAGUUAGCGGCGGACGGGUGAGUAACACGUGGGUAACCUGCCCAUAAGACUAGGAUAACUCCGGGAAACCGGGGCUAACACCGGAUAACAUUUUGAACCGCAUGGCUCGAAAUUGAAAGCCGGCUUCGGCUGUCACUUAUGGAUGGACCCGCGUCGCAUUAGCUAGUUGGUGAGGUAACGGCUCACCAAGGCAACGAUACGUAGCCGACCUGAGAGGGUGAUCGGCCACACUGGGACUGAGACACGGCCCAGACUCCUACGGGAGGCAGCAGUAGGGAAUCUUCCGCAAUGGACGAAAGUCUGACGGAGCAACGCCGCGUGAGUGACGAAGGCUUUCGGGUCGUAAAACUCUGUUGUUAGGGAAGAACAAGUGCUAGUUGACUAAGCUGGCACCUUGACGGUACCUAACCAGAAAGCCACGGCUAACUACGUGCCAGCAGCCGCAGUAA
rnacentral:rRNA from 1 species